CGAGAAGAUCCCGCAUCGCUCUAUCCUCUGCCGCCUCCGCAUUAAAAAAAAAAACCCGCACAUCCUACCUCUGGUCUCUUCUCCUCCCCUGAAUCCCUCAUCGGCUCAUCCUCCCGCAUCCGCCUCCCUAGCCGCCGCCGCCUGGCCUCCUCCCCCACGUCCAUCUCCUCACGGGCCACCUCGCCGCCACCCCCGCUUCGCCUCCUCACCAUUUUUCUCCCCGUCCCGGCCUGCACCUUCAUCAUCCGCGCCAGGAGGGGACUGUUGCCUCUGCACGCCAUCGCUUCGGUCCUUGGGAGGCCGCCGGAGAGCGGGAUCUGGCCGCUGCAGGGGGAGUCCGCAGACGCCUGGUGCGGUUCGCCGAGACCACCACCCCCUCAGCCGCCAUUGAGUGCAUCAUCGGAGGUCACGGGGACGAGGGGCCCUUCGACGGCCACUCGGCGUCCUCGCCCACGCAUUCCCCGCUCCCAGCAGACUGCUCCUCCUCCACAUAUGAUUUUGUAGUCUGAUUGCUGGAAAUUUUGUUGACAAAGUUGGAAAUCUAACACAUCAGAAGCACUCGAGCACGCACGAAACACUUUCCCUUUGUGUCGAAGGAUUGUUUGUUCAUCACGUGACUCAUCUGUUUCAGGGAGAUGGAAAGGUUCACCAUUACGGGUUCAGCAAACAGAACUGGAGAAAACAAACCUUUGCUUUUUGCCGUAAGAUCCUUCCUCUCUUCCUGCCACCGCAGGCAGUAUAACUGUAUAAUCAUGUCUCUGUCCGUCCAUGCUAACUAGCUACUCCCUCUGUUCCUAAAUGCUUGUCAUGGUUUUAGUGCAAAGUUGCAGACAUGACUACAUUUUGAGAUUGCAUACUCUCCACAUGAUCAAGUGAUUAAAGUGCCCUUAUUGUUUGUUUCAGGGGUUUUUUUCUUACCGUGGGAUUGCAAGAAAAACACUUAAGAAUGAUUCCAACUGCUAGAUACCUGCAGAUUUUAGAUGUUGUUGUUAAUUGACAUUCCACUUGUUGUUUUGCUAGGAGACCUUAUGUUAUGUCUAUACCACAACAAUGGCAACUUCAGAACUGUAGGUGAUGUUUAUCUCGGUUGUCAUAUCUAAAUUAAUCUUACUUACCCUACAUGUCUUCCCUGCUGCAGUAACGGGUUUAUCCAUUGAGAUCUUAAGACUUCUAAAUAUACUGGUUAUGAGAGAAGGAGAAGGAGAAGAACAUGGGAUUACGAAGAUUGUUGACUUUGUGCUUGCUGGGAUAUCAAGCCCCUCUAAAACCAUUAAGAUGGAAGAAAGCAACUGUAACAACAGCGGUCCAUGUACAUGUGUUAAGUAACUGAAAUAAUAUUGACAAAAAAUUGUUUAUGAAGACAGUUACUAAUAUUUAGGCAUCUUUGAAAUGAUGAAGAAAGAUGCCAAGAAUGACAAAUUUAGACUUUGAGUCACACGUGGCAUGCCAGUUGUGAGUUGCAUGCAGUCAAGGAUCGCAAGUGAAAAUCCAUUUGAUUGGACUUGGAACAAUUUGGUUUUCUUUUAUUUUUUAAGUUGGAAUUGUAACACCCAGUAAAUUGUCCGUAGGAACGCUAUCUCUUCAAACAUGUGAAACGGAAAGCUCCAGCCGUGGCAACGCAGGAACAUUUCGGUUAGUCAUAAAUACAGAGUAUAAAAUAAAAUAUUUCAUGGCACAGAGUACACGCUACGGUUCGAUUUCCCCCGAUUGGGAGCAGCGCCGCCGUUCAACGCGACCACCGCCGACUCGACGUGAUCCAGCAGGUACCCGAAGAUCUUCUUCCUCAGCCGCUCGGCGGCCUCGGACCGCCGCGGGCCCGCGCCAUCCGUAUCCAGCCAGUCGUUGACCCUCUUGAGCUGCCCCAGCGUCCCGGCCACGUCGCCGUCGACCAGCCCCUCCACGUGCCCCGCGAACCACGCGCUCAUCUCCUCCCCUAGCCGCCUCGCCGCUGCCUCCAGCCAGGUGAUCUCCAUCUCCUCCUCCUCCGCCUCCCCGGCGACGGCGGCUUCUUCUCCCGCCGCCAGCGGAUUUGCCGAGGGGAAGCAGGCAGCAGGUGGUUCUUCUUCGGCGCUCUGUUGAUUUUUCUUCCUGUAGAGGGAAAAGGGGGCCAGGUCGGCGCUGACUGCCGCGCGCAGCCAGUCGCCGGCGUGGCCGCCAGAUCGGCGCUGCUGGUGGUUGCCGAGGACGGCGGCGGAGCGGGUGAUGGCGGCUUGGAGCGCGAGGAACUCGUCCACGGUAUGCUGCGGCGGAUGCUGGGCGGCGGAGGCGGUUAGAUCUGCGAAGGCACUGAACGUGCAUAGCAAAUUCAUCAGGACAGUAGUGAAAUUUUCAGUCCUCUCUGUUCUGGGCAUUGUUUUCUGAUGAGCAAAUUGUUGUUUAAUUUUAUUUUGAUUUUUGAUGAACACAGGUUUUAUUUUAUGGAUGAGUGAAGACUGAAGAGCACUUCACCUGAGACACCUGAGCACAAUCUCCGCAGCAGAAGCUUCCUGCAUGGCCUCAACAGCAGCCAUCUCUGCAGCAUCCUUAUAAUUCAUCACUUCCUACGGUGCAUCAAAACUUGCCAACUUAACAAGCCAUAAUUCCGAGGCUGCAUAACCCCAUCGCAAUGUGCAGAAUUACAUACGGAGUAUAAAUUAAAGUUUAUAAACAAAUUGUACCGAUCCGAGAGUCUUGAGGUCUGACGGAAGCGAUUCCCACGAGGCGCCUGGCGUUGACGAUGAUGUUUUACUGGGAGGGGGAACCCUGACCAUGUUGUCCAGUGAUACAGUGCUGCUGGGAGGAUCCUUCUCACUAGAUUUGCCUGCAUCACUGGAGCUCCUCUGUGCGCUGCGGGGCUUGAGGGGAACAUCUGGUUUUGGAGACAGAUUUGAUGAUCUCGACUUAGUCCUAGAGGUGAUCUUCUCCUUGCUCUCUCUUCUCUGCAGUGGUUUCUCCUCCGCCAUUCUUCUUGGAACCUGUGAGUAAAUUGCUACGUCAACUUGCUACUCCCUCUCUUCCAUAUUAAUUGACUUUCUAUUACAUGUAUCUAGACACUUUUUAGGUAUUGAUACAUUCAUAUUUGGACAAAUUUGAGUCACUUAAUAUGGGAUUGAGGGAGUAGUAUUUUAUUUCA